AAUUUUGCGCAAUGGGCUAACGCCUGACGCAGCAACGCCGCGUGGAGGAUGAAGGUCUUUGGAUUGUAAACUCCUGUCAGCAGGGAAAAAGCGACUUAACUUAAUACGUUAGGGAGUUGAUUGUAUCUGCAGAGGAAGCCCCGGCUAACUCUGUGCCAGCAGCCGCGGUAAUACAGAGGGGGCAAGCGUUAUUCGGAAUUAUUGGGCGUAAAGGGCGCGUAGGCGGCCUUGCAAGUGACGGGUGAAAUCCCUCGGCUUAACCGAGGAACUGCCUGUCAGACUGUAGGGCUUGAGACCGGGAGAGAUGAGUGGAAUUCCCAGUGUAGCGGUGAAAUGCGUAGAUAUUGGGAGGAACACCAGUGGCGAAGGCGGCUCACUGGACCGGUACUGACGCUGAUGCGCGAAAGCGUGGGGAGCAAAC
rnacentral:rRNA from 1 species